rnacentral:rRNA from 1 species
CAGUAGCCGCGGUAAUACGAAGGGGGCUAGCGUUGCUCGGAAUUACUGGGCGUAAAGGGAGCGUAGGCGGAUGAAUUAGUCAGGGGUGAAAACCCGGGGCUCAACCUCGGAACUGCCUUUGAUACUGUUCAUCUUGAGUAUGGGAGAGGUGUGUGGAACUCCGAGUGUAGAGGUGAAAUUCGUAGAUAUUCGGAAGAACACCAGUGACGAAGGCGACACACUGGCCCGUUACUGACGCUGAGGCUCGAAAGCGUGGGGAGCAAACAGGAUUAGAUACCCCAGUAGUCCCUGUCUCUUAUAC